AGGCUCGUAGCUCAGUUGGUUAGAGCACCACCUUGACAUGGUGGGGGUCGCUAGUUCGAAUCUAGUCGAGCCUA
rnacentral:tRNA from 1 species